rnacentral:rRNA from 1 species
AAUUUUGGACAAUGGGCGCGAGCCUGAUCCAGCCAUGCCGCGUGAGUGAAGAAGGCCUUCGGGUUGUAAAGCUCGUUCGGACGGCAAGAAAUCGCGCAGGCCGAUACCCUGCGCGGAUGACGGUAGCGACAUAAGAAGCACCGGCCGACCACGUGCCAGCCGCCGCGGUCAUACGUAGGUUGCUAGCGUUAAGCGGACUUACUGGACGUAAAGCGUGCGCAGGCGGUUGAUUAAGACAGGCGUGAAAUCCCUGGGCUUAACCUGGGAACUGCGCUUGUGACUGGUCAGCUAGAGUACGGCAGAGGGGGGUGGAAUUCCACGUGUAGCAGUGAAAUGCGUAGAGAUGUGGAGGAACACCGAUGGCGAAGGCAGCCCCCUGGGCCGAUACUGACGCUCAUGCACGAAAGCGUGGGUAGCAAACAGG